UGCAACACAGCGCAGAGGAGCUGAGGGCCCCACAUAGAUGCGGCAGCAGCAGUGCUGAGUUCCAGGCCUGCCACAAGAUGGUCCUGGACCUAAAGCCCAAGGAGGUUAGACCACAAGAAGGCAGACAGCCUGCACAACACCACCAAUUAGGAAGUAAGGCUUCACAUGGAUGCAAAUAUCCAAAACAUGCUUGGGCUGAAUCACACAGCAAGGGACAAAUGUUAGUGAGGAUGAAAUGUUGUCACCGUCAGCCCAGGGGCGGGAACGUAGCCAGUGGCUAAAAGACAGAAACAUGAGCUUUGU
rnacentral:lncRNA from 1 species